ACAACUGACAAGAGAGUGUGUGAACCAGAGAGAAAAAAUGGUUUGAGCACAGAGCAGCGUGUACUUUGUAGUUCUGAAUUUCAAAUUCAAAAUUGAAAUGAUUUAGAUUGUUACUCCAAUCAACAAUUCACGUCUACGUAGGAAAAACGAAAUGUGGAUAAUGGAUAUUGCAAUCGAUUUUGAAAACUUGUAUUAUUCUUCUGUUAUGAAGCCCUGUCCUACUAUCUCAAUUGCUCAAAGGGUUGACCUUCCAGUUUUGCUUGAACUUUGUAGCCUCUUAUUCCAUAUGGCAGAGUGCUGGUUUUUUGUAUAAAACCAUGAAGCAAAUUGAAGAUUGGAAAUUUACAAUGAUUCGAACUACCUGCUGGGAAUGCCAGUCAACAAAAGAAACAGAAAACAAUUUCACUAAUCAAAUUCCUAUUUAAAUAGUAAGAAGUUUAAGGAGGAUAACAGACUGCAUAGAAAAAUAGAAAAUAAGCAAGAAAAAUUGUUUUACAAUGCAAAUUAUUUGUCAAACGGCAACAUUGCUUGCCAAAGUUCUCAUUUAAAGUCCAGCAAGCACAAGAUCUAAAAAUGGCUGUGCUGUGAAGUCUCACAGAAACUAUUUGCAAAUUUAGAUUGCAGUAUGGAUGUAAUUAAAAUGAAAGAUACAUAUUCCAACAUAUUUAUUUGUUUGGAGACAGCAGUUGAGUGAUAUAAUUUCUUCACAAGGAAUAUACUGCCCGCUCACACAUCUAUAAGCUGAUUCCAUGGUAUGCCCACAACUAUUUGCAGGGGUGAGACACAAUUAAACUCUCAUUUGUCAUCAACAAGUAGUAAGUGUUGACUGUUGAAUGUUCAAUCCAUUUCCCUGAAUCGAUAGUAAAGUAUGUUGGUUAUUUUUCUUCUUGACCCUUUUGCUUCGUUAGUGAAGAGACAAAUACUGUUGGAAAUAAUUUCAUUAUCUGCUCAGUUUUUCUGGCCAGUUCAUGUUUUCGACAACUUUCUUGUUUAAAAGCCCUCCAUUUCGACGACGAAAUGAUAGAAGAUAGGCCUAGUUGAUGUUGAUUGCGAUUUCUUCAUCCUCCUCCGAUCGAAAUCUCUUUAAGCACUCACCGUUACGUGGACCAUCCGUAUUUUUAAUGUAAAAUCUAUUCGAUUCAACCAUUUUCUCGAAUUUGUUUUACUGUGAAAGUUUAUUUUAGUUUUUUGUGAAGUUUUUUAAGUCAGUUGCAUGCUUAAAGCAAAAUAUGACAGGUGCGUGGGUUUCAA